rnacentral:rRNA from 1 species
CACUUCCUACGGGGGGCAGCAGUGAGGAAUAUUGGUCAAUGGACGCAAGUCUGAACCAGCCAUGCCGCGUGCAGGAUGACGGCUCUAUGAGUUGUAAACUGCUUUUGUACGAGGGUAAACCCCGAUACGUGUAUCGGGUUGAAAGUAUCGUACGAAUAAGGAUCGGCUAACUCCGUGCCAGCAGCCGCGGUAAUACGGAGGAUCCGAGCGUUAUCCGGAUUUAUUGGGUUUAAAGGGUGCGUAGGCGGAGUGUCAAGUCAGCGGUAAAAUUUCGGGGCUCAACCCCGUCGUGCCGUUGAAACUGA